rnacentral:lncRNA from 1 species
ACAGGUUUAGGGGGAGGGCACACACAAGAGUCAUUUAAAUCAGAUGCUUUUUUUUUUUUUUCCAUUUUAAACUCCAUUUUUACCUGGGCUUGGUAGCACAUACCUGUAAUCCUACUCAGAGGGCUGAAGCAAGGAUCAUAAGUUCAGGCCAGCUAGGGCAACUUAGCAAGACCCUGUCCCAAAAUAAAAACCAAAAAGGGCUGAGGAAGUAGCUCAGAGGUAGAGAGACCCUCAAGAGGAGUGAUAUUCAAGAGAAGUGAACCCCAAUAAUCACCACAUUCAGACCCAAUACAUUUUAUUAGUCCAUCUCUUAACUCUUUACACUUUUGCUAUAAAUCCAAGAUCUGAGGGUGACUUCUCGUCCUCUGUUCCCUCUCUCCCUUUAAACUAACUCUGUGUAAUCUCAUGUUUCAUGUCCCAGAUAGACUAAUAUGCCCUAUAUAGUCACUGUUGGCUAGGAACUAUUCUCAGUUCUUUGCUUUAACUAAAAUCAUGCUGAUUAUCAUGUUUAUUUUCACAUUCUCUGUACUGGAUCCUUGGGGAAUUAAGUGAUUCCAAACUUGACCCACUGCCUUAAUAGAUAAGAGCCCUGAAGGGCAGUAUGCUCCUCUCUCUCUGACCUCUUAUUUUAGUCAAGAUAAAUACCCACCCUACUAGUAUUAUCUAACUGAAAGAAUGACAGCCCCACCUUCAGGGGACAGCAAUGUGUUUUGUUUGACAUCAGACCUGACUGUGAAGAGAGGUGAUUUCCAUGAGGCAUUCGUCCUUCCUCAUGAUCUAAAAUGUCAGCUAUCAACAAAUCUCUAUUAAAACUUACCUGACUUUGUCCUAUCCUAAAGUACCUCAAAACUCUACAAGGUUUUUGUGUCCUUACUCAUUUAAACCAAACCAAA